rnacentral:rRNA from 1 species
AUUGAACGCUGGCGGAAUGCUUUACACAUGCAAGUCGAACGGCAGCACGGGGCAACCUGGUGGCGAGUGGCGAACGGGUGAGUAAUACAUCGGAACGUGCCCAAUCGUGGGGGAUAACGUAGCGAAAGUUACGCUAAUACCGCAUACGAUCUACGGAUGAAAGCGGGGAGUCGCAAGACCUCGCGCGAAUGGAGCGGCCGAUGUCAGAUUAGGUAGUUGGUGGGGUAAAGGCUCACCAAGCCAACGAUCUGUAGCUGGUCUGAGAGGACGACCAGCCACACUGGAACUGAGACAUGAUCAAACUCU